rnacentral:rRNA from 1 species
AGCAGCCGCGGUAAUUCCAGCUCCAAUAGCGUAUAUUAAAGUUGUUGCAGUUAAAAAGCUCGUAGUUGAAUUUCGGGAUCAGUAUGUUGGUCGUGCUUCGGUACGUACUGUCAUUACUGGUUUCUACCUUCUGAAGAACCUUGAUGUCAUUAAUUUGGUGUCUUGGGGAAUCAGGACUGUUACUUUGAAAAAUUAGAGUGUUUAAAGCAAGCAUACGCUUGAAUACAUUAGCAUGGAAUAAUGAAAUAGGACGUUUGAUUCUAUUUUGUUGGUUUCUAGGAUCGACGUAAUGAUUAAUAGGGAUAGUUGGGGGCAUUAGUAUUCAAUUGUCAGAGGUGAAAUUCUUGGAUUUAUUGAAGACUAACUACUGCGAAAGCAUUUGCCAAGGAUGUUUUCAUUAAUCAAGAACGAAAGUUAGGGGAUCGAAGACGAUCAGAUACCGUCGUAGUCUUAACCAUAAACUAUGCCGACUAGGGAUCGGAUGAUGUUAUUUUUAAUGACUC